rnacentral:rRNA from 1 species
GGGGAAUUUUGCGCAAUGGGCUAGCGCCUGACGCAGCAACGCCGCGUGGAGGAUGAAGGUCUUUGGAUUGUAAACUCCUGUCAGCAGGGAAAAAGGGAUAGGUGCUCAUACCACCUAAACUUGAUUGUACCUGCAGAGGAAGCCCCGGCUAACUCUGUGCCAGCAGCCGCGGUAAUACAGAGGGGGCAAGCGUUAUUCGGAAUUAUUGGGCGUAAAGGGCGCGUAGGCGGCUUUUCAAGUGGCGGGUGAAAUCCCUCGGCUCAGCCGAGGAACUGCCUGCCAGACUGGAUUGCUUGAGUCCGGGAGAGGUGAGUGGAAUUCCCAGUGUAGCGGUGAAAUGCGUAGAUAUUGGGAGGAACACCAGUGGCGAAGGCGGCUCACUGGACCGGAACUGACGCUGAGGCGCGAAAGCGUGGGGAGCAAAC